UCCCCCUGGAUCCCUCUCCCCCUCCGGAAGCCUCCUCGUCGGUGCUCGUCGCCGCGCGCCCACGGGCACAUAGUGCCGACAAGGCAUUAAUGGCGCACUGGCCGCUUCCUCCCCGUGUCCCCGAGCGUCGCUCGUGUCCGUGGGCCUCUGCUACUCAUCCGCUUCCCCCUCGUUGCGUUCUCGCGCCUCCCCGUGAUUGAUGAGCGUCACCAGGGCCUCGGCCGGACACGAGCGGCAGCACCCGAGCUGGAACCGCCUCACCCCGCCUAUAUAAGCCAGCCCCGGCCUCGUCUGAGCUUAUCACACGCCUCCACCAGCUCCCAAGAUCCCCCUAGCCACUAGCCGAGCCGGAGAAGCUCUCCUCGCCCACCAUUGCCGCCCUGGCCGCCGCCUCGGUCCUCCUAAAUUGGAGCUACCCGAGCCCCUCUUCCCCUUCUAGACACCACCACCAUUUUCCCCUCAUGUCGGGGAUCCUCCCCGUGCCCUCGACCCCUCGCCGGAGCUAGUGUGGUCACGCCUCCCAGAGUCCGGCCACCGCCAUUACUCUCGGCCACCACGUCAAACAACACCGCCCGAGCCUCUACCCCACCCCCUGACCUUUCCAUGAGCUUCCCCGGAGUCCAGCGCCCCUCCCCAUCCCAUUCGCGAGUUGCCGAAGUGGAUGUGGCCGUCGUCCUCAAGAUUGGCUGCCGUCCCCCCUUGAUUGUUGUUGCCGCGUGACGCCGCCGUUCUGUCCCUCCUCGGCGCUUGAUUCCCCUCAGGUUGGACGCGGUGGGCCAAGCCUCGCUCGCCGGCGCCGUCCCCACGGCCAGAGCCGGCCAGGCCAGUCGCCGGCCGAGCCCAGCCCCGCCUCUCCUCUAUUCUCUGUCGGGCGCGAGGGAGAAGCUAGGCGAGAAGAGAGAGAGAAAGAGGUGGAUAAGAAAGCGGAUUUGCUCGGAAGGCACUUUCUGUUUUCAGCCAUCAGGGGCCUGUUUGUAGAACUAUUUUUACAAAUUGGUCCCUAAACUUCGUCGGGCUAUAACUUCUUGCUCGUAACUCCGAUUGAGCCCCCUCCGAGAGAGAAUCUUUUCCGCGAAUCUUUUUGCAGUUUCACCGCACCUCUUCCCGGAGCAUCCUUCAUCCCCAGGCAAGCCACAACCCCCAUUUGCAUGAUAGCCAUGUAGUAGCAUUGGUUUUAAACUUGAAUAUUAAAUAACUGUCUAUUUGUUUUGAUACGGUUAUCAUUGUUUCGGUGAUGCUUAUAGAUAUGUGUUCACUUUCAUGCUAUGCUCUUCUACAUCUUGUUAUCUUGCACUUAUUACUAGUAUUAUUGUUAUAUGUCAUGCUUGGUAGUAGUACCUAUUGGCGUUGGUCGUGCUCCUCGGUGCAUGACUAUUGUCUACUACCGAGUACCGUCAAUAUGCAGGUUCCUUUGCAUCUAGCUGCUUAUAUGCUUACCUAGUAGUAUUCUUGACAUGUUCUUGCUUAGUAUUUUUGUUGAUGCUAGUGGUCAUGAUAUGCUUGUGAUGUUCAUGCUAGUCAGUAUGCCAUGAUCAUUCGGAUAUAUGCUUUAUUGUUGUUGAUAUGCUUGAUGAUUAUGUUGUACCCCAUGCUUAUGUUGAUAUCAUGCAUGAUAGUUGCAUC